rnacentral:rRNA from 1 species
AUUGAACGCUAGCGGGAUGCCUUACACAUGCAAGUCGAACGGCAGCGCGGACUUCGGUCUGGCGGCGAGUGGCGAACGGGUGAGUAAUGUAUCGGAACGUGCCCAGUAGCGGGGGAUGACUACUCGAAAGAGUAGCUAAUACCGCAUACGCCCUACGGGGGAAAGGGGGGGAUCGCAAGCCCUCUCACUAUUGGACCGCCCGAUAUCGGAUUAGCUAGUUGGUGAGGUAAAGGCUCACCAAGGCGACGAUCCGUAGCUGGUUUGAGAGGACGACCAGCCACACUGGGACUGAGACACGGCCCAGACUCCUACGGGAGGCAGCAGUGGGGAAUUUUGGACAAUGGGGGAAACCCUGAUCCAGCCAUUCCGCGUGUGCGAUGAAGGCCUUCGGGUUGUAAAGCACUUUUGGCAGGAAAGAAAUCGCAUCAAUUAAUACUUGGUGUGGAUGACGGUACCUGCAGAAUAAGCACCGGCUAACUACGUGCCAGCCGCCGCGGUAA